UACGAGGGGGGCAAGCGUUGUUCGGAAUUAUUGGGCGUAAAGGGCGCGUAGGCGGUGCGGUAAGUCACCUGUGAAAACUCUGGGCUCAACUCAGAGCCUGCAGGCGAGACUGCCGUGCUUGAGUGUGGGAGAGGUGCGUGGAAUUCCCGGUGUAGAGGUGAAAUUCGUAGAUAUUGGGAAGAACACCGGUGGCGAAGGCGGCUAUCUGGCCCGUAAUUGACGCUGAGGCGCGAAAGCGUGGGGAGCAAACAGG
rnacentral:rRNA from 1 species